UAUAAUGUUUAAUUUGUAUUUUUCUUUCCAUGACUUUUUUUUUCUCUUUCAGUCAAGUUUUUCCAUUAAAAAAAUGCAGUAAAUUAUAACAGAGCAAGACAUCACAAGCAAAUAGGAAAAAAAGCCUCAGGAAAAAUCAGUUUCUUGGUAAGUUUCAUCAUGUGGCCCCACAAGUAGUUGUACAAACCACUGUAUUAAACCCCAGAAGAGGGGCAAGGAGCUCAUUCACAAGACUUAGCUACAGAAAAUGCAGUCAAGACAGUCCCUUCCUUCAAGCAGUAGACAAAACUAUGACUCAAGACACAAGAUUCAGUCUUUCAACAAGUUGAAAUGCUCCUUAUUGAGACUGGCUGUACAGCAGAGCAGCUGCAGUAGAAGUACAUUUGUCCUCUUGGAUAGAGUGUAUUGUGGAUUCACUGUAUACCAACAUUUUCUAAGAAAUUCACCCUUGCAUUACUGA
rnacentral:lncRNA from 1 species